rnacentral:rRNA from 1 species
AGUGAACGCUGGCGGUAGGCCUAACACAUGCAAGUCGAACGGCAGCACAGUAAGAGCUUGCUCUUACGGGUGGCGAGUGGCGGACGGGUGAGGAAUACAUCGGAAUCUACUUUUUCGUGGGGGAUAACGUAGGGAAACUUACGCUAAUACCGCAUACGACCUACGGGUGAAAGCAGGGGAUCUUCGGACCUUGCGCGAUUGAAUGAGCCGAUGUCGGAUUAGCUAGUUGGCGGGGUAAAGGCCCACCAAGGCGACGAUCCGUAGCUGGUCUGAGAGGAUGAUAAGCCACACUGGAACUGAGACACGGUCCAGACUCCUACGGGAGGCAGCAGUGGGGAAUAUUGGACAAUGGGCGCAAGCCUGAUCCAGCCAUACCGCGUGGGUGAAGAAGGCCUUCGGGUUGUAAAGCCCUUUUGGUGGGAAAGAAAAGCAGCAGGUUAAUACCCCGCUGUUCUGACGGUACCCAAAGAAUAAGCACCGGCUAACUUCGUG